UCUUGGUAAAGUAAUGCGAUUGGUCGAUCUCAAUUUGAUCCUCUAAGCAUUUAAUUACUUCAUAAGGAGCAAGUUGAGCGCAUAUACGAAUCGUAUUGUAGCGUAUGGUUUAUGGUUUAUCUAUAGUUACAUUUCUUCGUGCCAUCGUUCUAAACCAUUUCUGUAACGUAGAAGUUGUGAUCGAUAACUGGAAUCUUGAAUAAAAAGCAAAAUGUUUGUUUUUCAAAAGGCAAUUGGAAAUGCACGAUUGGCGAAACAAAUUGUACAGCAACGUAGAACCGUAGUUGAUUUACCUCCGUUAGUCAAAGUAUCAUUAACUGAAAAAAUUCUCUCCGGAGUAGCACUUCUUGUAUCGAUUUUGGGAGUACCUUUAUAUAUUUCAACGAAUCUUAAGAAUUAUAGAAAAAAAUAAGAUGGCAAUGUAAAUGUAAUUACAUUCUAUUAUAGUUGGAAUCAGCUGUAACGAGAUGCUGUGUUAUUUAGAAUUAUCAUAAGAUAAUGUAUUUACAAAUUUUAUAAUAAUUAAAACACAAUUAUAUAACAUUUAAAUAAGAAUGCCAAUAUUAAUUUGAACAUUUCUAUAGAAAAUAUAUGAUUUUUCUGUAAUCUUUUUAUUAAAAUUAUAUGGAUACACACACAGAUAGAAUGGCGUCAAUAUAAUAAAUUUCUGCUAUUCAA
rnacentral:lncRNA from 1 species